GUUCUUGCAAGAUGAUCUGUAUUUUCUCUCUAAAGCAGAGUUCAUUUGCUGAGAAUGAUGGAGAAAAUCAGCAUCUAGCUAAUCAGCUGACCAUGAGAUGCAGAGAUUAUCUGGAAUUAUCCAGAUUGGUCCAUUUAAUUACAUGAGUCCUUAAAAGUGGAAAGUGGAAGAAGAGGCAGAAGAGUGUGUCAGAGAGAUGCUGUGUGAAAAGGACUCAACCUGCCACUUGAGGCUUUGAGGCUGGAGAAAGGGGCCAUGAACCAAGGAUUGUGAGCAGCCUGUAAAAUCUGGAAAAGACAAGGCAAUACCCUUUGCUGUCUCAGGGUCAAACAUGCAACUCCUGCCUGCUUGUAUGGCCAGCUGGGUUCAAGAAGGAAGGAACCUCAUUGUUGACAGUUACCAGAUGAAUGUGCCCCUUCUGUACAGCUAAGAAAUGGAAUAGACAUUGGUAACCUUCCACAGGCCCACACAUGUGUUAUCAGCCAUACCUUAGGACAGAAGGAAUGAGUUUGCAGAAAGGAUGACAACUCCAGGAAGGAAAUUGGUAGACUCAACGUCCAGGGAACCUACGAAUCUGCUAUCCCAAGCCUUCUGCCCCCAAACACUUCACCCUGAAAUACAGCCCAGAGCAUGCACUCAGUGAGUCCCACUGAAGAAGAGACGGAAGGCAGAACUGAACAAGAUGUGUCCAGAAGAGGUAGCCAUAGAUCAUGGACAUGACCAAAAGAAGCUUACUUUAUUUUCAACCCUACAACCAUACUGAGAAUUUAGCCCUGGGGACAUCUUCCGAUAUAAUCUGGCAUAGAAGAGUGGUUAUCACACCUUUAGCAUGGAUAGAAAUGCAAAACAAUAUUUGUAAUAGUCUGUGCUCACGCUGCUAUAAGGACAUACCCAAGACUAGGAAAGAGCCACAGAUUUGCUUCUUCCUAGCAAGGGCGUGAUACUAAUUCCAGAUCCAUCCAAAUAUUGUUCACUGCUUCUUAGACAGAGACCCCUUUCUCCCAGGACCCUUGAGACACCUUUGCUGUGAAUAAUGGAGAAGCAAAAGGAGUUACUAAUGAAGACAAACUAAACCUGAGAACAGAGAGAGCCUAACUAUGUGCUCCAGAAGUGCCAUGUGUGUCUAAGAUGAAGUUUCGCUCUUCUUGCCCAGGCUGGAGUGCAAUGGCACAAUCUCAGCUCACUGCAACCUCUGCCUCCUGGGUUCAAGCGAUUCUCCUGCCUCAGCCCCCUGAGUAGCUGGGAUUACAGGCAAGCAAACUACAAGACACUGGACAUCAGACAUCGUCAAACCCAGCUCCUUAUCUCUGCCUCUUCUUUGUCUAGUUUCCCCACAGUUAUUACUAAAUACAGACUUGAAGCACAAAGAAUUUUGGAGACUUCAGUUUCCGCUCAGAGGAACUAACCAGGGAGGUUUGGACUUUCCUGCCUCUAAUAAGGACAGUGAAAUGUGAUUGGAAGUGGCAGUGGUUGUCUGAUAGCGGAAGCUCCAUCCACCGAGGUUCUUAAGUGAGAAUGUCUUGAAUAGAGUCAACAUACCCUAACUUCCACCAACCUUUGAUAUAAAUGCAGCAUGAGUAAGAAAUAAACAUUUAUUGUUUUAAUCCACCCAGAUUUUUGGAUUGU
ensembl:lncRNA novel transcript